CAGCAGCCGCGGUAAUACGUAGGUGGCAAGCGUUGUCCGGAAUUAUUGGGCGUGAAGGGCUCGCAGGCGGUUUCUUAAGUCUGAUGUGAAAGCCCCCGGCUCAACCGGGGAGGGUCAUUGGAAACUGGGAAACUUGAGUGCAGAAGAGGAGAGUGGAAUUCCACGUGUAGCGGUGAAAUGCGUAGAGAUGUGGAGGAACACCAGUGGCGAAGGCGACUCUCUGGUCUGUAACUGACGCUGAGGAGCGAAAGCGUGGGGAGCGAACAGGAUUAGAGACCCGUGUAGUCCCUGUCUCUUAUAU
rnacentral:rRNA from 1 species